AAUUCUCAUGUAAGUUAAGUAAUGGAUUAUAAGAUCUUAAUUGUUGAAAUUACCAUUAAGUAUGAUAAAAAUAAUUUAACUGUUAAAUAAAAGAUCAAUGGUUGAAAACACUCAUACAACUAUUUUAAAUAUUUUGAGUAUUAGUACCAAGAAAAACAACUUGAUGAAUGGCCUGAUCUACCAGAUUUUAACAAAAAGAGUGUCCCCAUCUAACUAUAUACAUUACUACCACAUUGGCAUCAUAGAGUCAACAAUAACUGAGCUUCUUUCCUGGUCAUAUUCAGUAGUAGUUGAGUCAUGGUUUAGACCAUGGUUAGACCCUAAGCUAAUGUAAGAUUGGUAAGCCUCCAGGUGCAAAGUUUGCAUGGUAACACGCCGACAUUACUUACAGGAAAGCUGGAAAUGUACACGACAUUUUUUUUUUUAGUUUAAUUGGACCCAUUUAAAAUGUUGGUUAUUGGUGGGAUGCAUUUGAAUCGAGCUGAUUUUAAGAAGUCUCUUGUCUUUCUUUCUUUCUUUUUAUUUAUCUAAAAUUCUGUGUAGUGAUGCUUUCAAGAGACUAGUAAAAGCACCAAUAAGAAUCUGUGGUGAUCGACAGAUCGAGAGAAUUCAUUCGUCUCCAACAGUCAAGUUCUUUAAAAAAAAAAUCUGCUCUGUAUUUGAUUUUCCUGAUCUGUUAUUAUCAUCUGCUUGUUUUUCUUUGAUCCAUCUCGUUUCAUCUAGAAAAAAUAGAUUUUUUCCAUUGUUUUGAUAGAUUCAUGUGAAUUUCACUUUGGUUAAUUUUCACCAUACAACUUGUUUUUGUUUGUUAUGUAACAAGGAACAGAAGGUUUGAGAGAAUGUUAGCCUCGCAUGACGUGCCUGACUCUCACCAUCAGAAGCAAUCUUCCUUGGUUAUGGUUUCUCAAAGGCAUCAGUCCUGUGGUGAUAUUGAAGAAUGCAGCUCAAGUGACAAGAUAUUCUGACCAAAACCAGCAGCAAUCUUCUAAGAUACAGCAACACUCCUCAAUAUAAAAUGCAUCAAUAAGAAGACGGGAGAGCAGUACACGGAAGGGCCCAAGGUUGAAAAGUACAAGGAGAUGCUGGUGAAGAAAACUCAAGAUCAGGGCGCCCAGUUUAUUUCUUAUCACCCAGUCAAAGCGGAGUGGAAGUUCAAGGUUGAUCACUUCAGCCGGACUUAUCUAGGUGCAAGGAAACAUUGUCAACCCUUAAAGCCAUGCUGGGGCAAGGAGGCUAUCCACAACUAGAACUGGACAUAGCUCACCUUGAAAAGGAAAUUGAGUUAUAUUCACUGGAGAAGCUGUGUUAUGAAGCUCAAAUGAUGGUAUGGUAAAUGAGAAGGCUCCAUCUCCUUUUCAAGUAGGAAAUUGCUUCACAUCUGGGCUUUCCUGAUGGUUCUGUAAGCCACUAUGGUUUGGAUGUUGAUGUUAAUAGUGUGUUAUUAAUGGCUGACAUUGUUCUUUAUGGUUCCUUUGAAGUACCCAUCAUUGCUCCUGACUUGGCUAGCAUAAAAAGAUAUGUUGUUAACGGAGUCCAUGGUUUGAUUUUUCAAGCACGUGAACCUGAGACGAUAGUGUAGAGCUUUCUCGAUUUUAGUAUCGGACAUGAAGCUGUCUAAAUUUGCUCAUGUAGUUGCUUACUCUGGAAAGUUACUUGCUAGGAACAUACUAGCAUCAGAGUUUAUAACGGGCUAUGCAAAGCUUUUAGAAAAUGUUCUUCAGUUUCCAUCAAAUUCCAUGCUCCCCAGGUCCAUUUCUCAGCUUUAAAAAUACAAUUGGGAAUGGAAUUUGUUCAGGAAGAAAUCAUAUGAGAGAGGCACGAGCGAACAAUGAAGCCAAAACUGAACUUGAGAGUCGUUUGAGAGAAGCUGGGGAGCGAGAAGCUACCCUUGUUCAAGCACUUGAAUAACUGAGGCAGACUCUUAGUAGAACAGAGCAGCAGGCAGUUUUUAGAGAGGACAUGGUUCGAAGAGACAUUGAUGAUCUUCAAAGAUUGGGUGGAGGCAGCCAUGAUACGAUUGGAUAUGAGUGAAUAUAUGGUGUGGCAAAGAAAGUAGUUGGCAAGAUUAAAGUGGAAGGUUAGUUUUCAAUGGUAUAAACCGAAUGUGGGUGCUAAUUGAUGAAUUUUCAGGGAUUCUAUGCCCACUUUUUAGUCUUAAGCACAACCUGUGAAGUGAUAUGAGCUUAGCUAUAGGAACUUUCUGCUCAAGAUGCCACUCCUGCUUCCUUUCCCAUUCGAAGUUGUGAUGCUGCUACAAUUUUCUUUUUUUCUAAGAAUUUCAACCACUAUGGUAUUGGAUGCUCCAGGCCUGGUCAUAUGGAGAACUUUGUCUUGGUUUUUAAUUAAUUGUGGGCUUUUCUAUUAUAUUACUGUUCUUUCUGGAGAAUGUGCAAAUGAAGUGGUGAGCUUUCACAAUUUUUGCUUCAGUUAUUUUCUCUAGGAAUGCAACUAUAGAGGGAUUUAACUCUUGGAAUUACUGGAAGAUGCUCAUACCAGACAUGGACUGCUGGGCUAUGAUGGUAUGAUGCAUAUAGGCUUCUUCUCUUUUCUUUUGUAGGUUAUUAAAAAGAAAAAAAAAAUGUCAUUCCUGUUACUUCUGAUCAACUACUAGAGGUUAUAAAAAGUGUCUCAAAAUUUCAAGUCUUCAUUGUAUUAUAAAUUAGAGGUACAAUUGAUCUACAGUGGAAUGAUGGCCACACACACAUUGAUGAAACGAUGACCAUUUAUAUUAAUUUUCUUUUUUGGACGAUUAUUAGAGUAAA